rnacentral:lncRNA from 1 species
UUAAUUUCGAAAGAAUUUGAAGUUUGAAUUGAAUCGUAAAUUGUAAGAUUUAAUUAAAUCGUAAUAUUUGAAUCAAUUAAACUCGUGUGUUUUCAAUUAAAAAACAAUAUUCAAAGACUUGAUCGAUUAAGCUCAACUCAUUUCAAUUCGUAGACAACAUUCAAAUAUUUGAAUCGGUUAAACUCAAUAAUUUACAAUAGCGUAUUAAUCAAUCUGUGUAUAGUUAAAGUUUAG